rnacentral:sRNA from 1 species
CAUACUGCAGGAUAUGUAUCUGAGUACCGCUUUGUUCCUGAUCAGAAGGAAGAACUUGAAGAAGCCAUAGAAAGGAUUCAUAAAACUCUAAUGGGUCAGGCUCCUUCUGAGGCUGAGCUGAAUUACUUGAGGACUGCCAAAUCCCUGGAGAUGUAUGGCGUUGACCUCCAUCCCGUCUAUGGAGAAAACAAGUCUGAGUAUUUCUUAGGAUUAACUCCGGUUGGUGUUGUUGUCUACAAGAAUAAAAAGCAAGUGGGGAAGUAUUUCUGGCCUCGGAUUACAAAGGUUCACUUCAAGGAGACUCAAUUUGAACUCAGAGUACUGGGAAAAGAUUGUAACGAAACCUCAUUCUUUUUUGAAGCUCGGAGUAAAACUGCUUGCAAGCACCUCUGGAAGUGCAGUGUGGAACAUCAUACAUUUUUUAGAAUGCCAGAAAAUGAAUCUAAUUCACUGUCAAGAAAACUCAGCAAGUUUGGAUCCAUACGUUAUAAGCACCGCUACAGGUAAGUGACAUGUUUUUCCUUGGGGGGAUGUGUUUGUAAAUAAAUACUUAAUUCAGCUGU